AAGUGCACAGCAAGUUAGAAAAAACAGGCCAUGUGGGAGACAGGAGGCUUAAAUCCAGUUGUAAGUUUUAGGUGUGAAUCACCAGAACCCUUCCCCUUCCUCUCGGGAUAUUGUUCAGGCAUAUUGCAUGCAAACGCUGCUGGCUGCCAACCAAUAAACAUGAGUGUGGCUUUUCUGAUGGGCACACCCUUGGAAACAGAGCUGGUUUGUUCUCCUGAACAAAAUCAAAGAACCUGCUGAGGCUUGCAGUGAAAAACUUUAUACAACAUUUCAAAGCCCAACUAAGGACAAAAUCGACAAGCCCAUCCGAAAAUGCCCCUGCGAAGCAGGCAUGGUAGUUUAUUCCUAAGAGUUGUUCGAUUUCAGCAGGAGCGACCGGCCAUGUUGGUUUCCCCAGGAUUGAGGGCUUCCUAGGAACACGGGACUUUCAGUGCCCAAACCUGGAAAGUCCCGAGGCUCUAAUUUAAAGGAUGAUUUUAAAAGGAACAAAAUACAUCUAUUCUCAGGAGCUGCAGUAAACCGAGGUAUCAGGCUCAACCAGAAAUCCUUCCACCCUUGACCACUCGGGACUUUCCAAACAAUGCUCCCCAGAGUCCAAACUUCAGGCAGGAAAUACCAAGUACAUUUUCCCCUUUGUCCUGGGACCACCAGGUGUGCCUCCUUUGCCAGGGCAUUCCUUCUUCCUCAACAUUCAGAGAUACAAACUGAAAUAUUUAUGAGCGAAAUGGAAUGACUGACUUCAAAACACUUUGAGGGAAGAAAUGGAUGGGGCAGAGAGGAAACAAGACUACCCAGGAGCUGAUCUUUCUGGAGGCUGGGUACACAGAGAUUCAUUAUGCUCUUUUCCACUUUUCUAUGUUAGAAAUUCUCCCUAAUAGAAAAUAUAUACAGAAUAGAUAAAUAUCAAGUUUCUACUGUGUAGCACAGGGAACUCUAUUCAAUAUUUUGUAGUAACCUAUAAUGAAAAGGAAUAUUAAAAUGAAUAUAUGUAUGUACAUG